rnacentral:rRNA from 1 species
GACGAACGCUGGCGGCGUGCUUAACACAUGCAAGUCGAACGGAAAGGCCUCUUUCGUGGGGUACUCGAGUGGCGAACGGGUGAGUAACACGUGAGUAACCUGCCCUUGUCUAUGGGAUAACUUCAGGAAACUGGGGCGAAUACCGGCUAGGUGCUCCUGCUGCAUGGAGGGGGCUGGAGAGUUUCGGCGGUUGGCGGUGGACUGGCGGCGUAUCAGCUUGUUGGUGGGAAAUUGGCUUACCAAGGCUUUGACGGGGAGCCGGUCAGAGAGGGUGAGCGGCCACACUGGGACCGAGGUAAGGCCGAGACUGCUACGGGAGGCAGCAGGGGGGAAGCUUGAACGAGCGGUGGAAGCCGGGUGCAGAAAGGCCGUGGGCCGGAUGACGGUGUUAUGGGUGAAAAACGAUUGCGCUCGUGACGAAGCUUUGUGUGACGGUAGUGGGUAAGGAAGCACCGGCUAACUACGUG